rnacentral:rRNA from 1 species
AACGAACGCUGGCGGCAGGCUUAACACAUGCAAGUCGAGCGCCCCGCAAGGGGAGCGGCAGACGGGUGAGUAACGCGUGGGAAUCUACCCAUCUCUACGGAAUAACGCAUGGAAACGUGUGCUAAUACCGUAUACGUCCUUCGGGAGAAAGAUUUAUCGGAGAUGGAUGAGCCCGCGUUGGAUUAGCUAGUUGGUGGGGUAAAGGCCUACCAAGGCGACGAUCCAUAGCUGGUCUGAGAGGAUGAUCAGCCACACUGGGACUGAGACACGGCCCAGACUGGUACGGGAGGCAGCAGUGGGGAAUAUUGGACAAUGGGCGCAAGCCUGAUCCAGCCAUGCCGCGUGAGUGAUGAAGGCCCUAGGGUUGUAAAGCUCUUUCACCGGUGAAGAUAAUGACGGUAACCGGAGAAGAAGCCCCGGCUAACUUCGUGCCAGCCGCCGCAGUAACAC